GAUACAUGCUGAAGAGGAGGAAGUGGCCGAUGAAGGGAUGGCACAAGAGAUACUUCUACUUGGACAAGGGCAUCCUGAAGUAUGCCAAGUGUGGUGCUGACAUUGAGAAGGGGAAGUUACACGGCUGUAUUGACAUGGUUAUUAAUGUU